rnacentral:rRNA from 1 species
GAUGAACGCUGGCGGCGUGCCUAAUACAUGCAAGUCGUGCGAACAGACGAUUAGCGUGCUACUCGGGUGUUAGCGGCGGACGUAAGAGUAACGUGUGGAUAACCUACCUAUAAGACUAGGAUAGCUUCGUGAUACCGGAGCUAAUACCGUAUAAUUUUUUCAACCGCAUGGUUGGAAAGUGAAGGACGGUCUUGCUGUCACUUAUGGAUAUAUCCGCGCUGCAUUAGCUGUUUGGUAGGAUAACGGCUUACCAAGGCAACGCUGCAUAGCCGACCUGAGAGCGGGAAGGGCGCCACUGGGACUGAGAGGCGGCACAGACUCCGACGGGAGGCAGAAGCAGGGAAUGGUGCGAAAUGGGCGAAAGACUGACGGAGGAACGCAGGGCGGGUGAUGCAGGGCUUCGGAUCGGAUAACUGUGUUAGGAUGGAAGACCAUAUGCGUCAGUAACUAUGCACUUCUUGACGGUACCUAAUGAGAAAGCACCGGCUAACUACGUG